AAGCCAUGCAUGUGCAAGUAUGAACCAAUUUGAACUGUGAAACUGCGAAUGGCUCAUUAAAUCAGUUAUAGUUUGUUUGAUGGUACGUGCUACUCGGAUAACCGUAGUAAUUCUAGAGCUAAUACGGUGAACAAACCCCGACUUUUGGGAGGGGCGCAUUUAUUAGAUAAAAGGCUGACGUGGGCUCUGCUCGCUGAUCCGAUGAUUCAUGAUAACUCGACGGAUCGCAUGGCCUUUGUGCCGGCGACGC
rnacentral:ncRNA from 1 species